UACGGAGGAUGCGAGCGUUAUCCGGAUUUAUUGGGUUUAAAGGGAGCGCAGACGGGUCGUUAAGUCAGCUGUGAAAGUUUGGGGCUCAACCUUAAAAUUGCAGUUGAUACUGGCGUCCUUGAGUGCGGUUGAGGUGUGCGGAAUUCGUGGUGUAGCGGUGAAAUGCUUAGAUAUCACGAAGAACUCCGAUUGCGAAGGCAGCACACUAAGCCGUAACUGACGUUCAUGCUCGAAAGUGUGAGUAUCAAACAGG
rnacentral:rRNA from 1 species